GACGAACGCUGGCGGCGUGCUUAACACAUGCAAGUCGAACGAAGAGCGAUGGAAGCUUGCUUCUACCAAUCUUAGUGGCGAACGGGUGAGUAACGCGUAAUCAACCUGCCCUUCAGAGGGGGACAACAGUUGGAAACGACUGCUAAUACCGCAUACGAUCUAACCUCGGCAUCGAGGAAAGAUGAAAGGUGGCCUCUAUGUAUAAGCUAUCACUGAAGGAGGGGAUUGCGUCUGAUUAGCUAGUUGGAGGGGUAACGGCCCACCAAGGCGAUGAUCAGUAGCCGGUCUGAGAGGAUGAACGGCCACAUUGGGACUGAGACACGGCCCAGACUCCUACGGGAGGCAGCAGUGGGGAAUCUUCCGCAAUGGACGAAAGUCUGACGGAGCAACGCCGCGUGAGUGAUGACGGCCUUCGGGUUGUAAAGCUCUGUUAAUCGGGACGAAAGGCCUUCUUGCGAAUAGUGAGAAGGAUUGACGGUACCGGAAUAGAAAGCCACGGCUAACUACGUG
rnacentral:rRNA from 1 species